rnacentral:misc_RNA from 1 species
UAACUGGUUGAUCCUGCCAGU